rnacentral:rRNA from 1 species
CACUAUGCCCAGCCUUAAACAUUGACAGUUAAUUACACCCACUGUCCGCCCGGGUACUACGAGCGCUAGCUUAAAACCCAAAGGACUUGGCGGUGCUUUAGACCCACCUAGAGGAGCCUGUUCUAGAACCGAUAAUCCCCGUUAAACCUCACCCUUCCUUGUUCUUUCCCGCCUAUAUACCACCGUCGUCAGCUUACCCUGUGAAGGCCCUAUAGUAAGCACAAUCGGCAAUGCCCAAUACGUCAGGUCGAGGUGUAGCGAAUGGAAGGGGAAGAAAUGGGCUACAUUUACUAAUAUAGUAAAUACGGAUGAUCACCCUGCAACGAGUAUCUGAAGGAGGAUUUAGCAGUAAGCAAAAAAUAGAGCGUUUUGCUGAAAUUGGCCCUGAAGCGUGCACACACCGCCCGUCACUCUCCCCGAACUAAGAUCUAAAACAUAACUAAUAUGCUAU